CCUACGGGUGGCAGCAGUGAGGAAUAUUGGUCAAUGGGAGAGAUCCUGAACCAGCCAAGCCGCGUGAGGGAAGACGGCCCUAUGGGUUGUAAACCUCUUUUGUCGGAGAACAAAACCCGGGACGUGUCCCGGGCUGCGUGUACCCGAAGAAAAAGCAUCGGCUAACUCCGUGCCAGCAGCCGCGGUAAUACGGAGGAUGCGAGCGUUAUCCGGAUUUAUGGGGUGUAAGGGGGGCGUGGGCGGUCCGUUAAGUCAGCGGUAAAAGUGCGGGGCUCAACCCCGUCGAGCCGUUGAAACUGGCAGGCUUGAGUUGGCGAGAAGUACGCGGAAUGCGCGGUGUAGCGGUGAAAUGCAUAGAUAUCGCGAAGAACUCCGAUUGCGAAGGCAGCGUACCGGCGCCAGACUGACGCUGAGGCACGAAAGCGUGGGGAUCGAACAGGAUUAGAUACCCGUGUAGUC
rnacentral:rRNA from 1 species